GACGAACGCUGGCGGCGUGCUUAACACAUGCAAGUCGAACGGAAAGGCCCUGCUUUUGUGGGGUGCUCGAGUGGCGAACGGGUGAGUAACACGUGAGUAACCUGCCCUUGACUUUGGGAUAACUUCAGGAAACUGGGGCUAAUACCGGAUAGGAGCUCCUGCUGCAUGGUGGGGGUUGGAAAGUUUCGGCGGUUGGGGAUGGACUCGCGGCUUAUCAGCUUGUUGGUGGGGUAGUGGCUUACCAAGGCUUUGACGGGUAGCCGGCCUGAGAGGGUGACCGGCCACAUUGGGACUGAGAUACGGCCCAGACUCCUACGGGAGGCAGCAGUGGGGAAUAUUGCACAAUGGGCGGAAGCCUGAUGCAGCAACGCCGCGUGCGGGAUGACGGCCUUCGGGUUGUAAACCGCUUUCGCCUGUGACGAAGCGUGAGUGACGGUAAUGGGUAAAGAAGCACCGGCUAACUACGUGCCAGCAGCCGCGGUGAUACGUAGGGUGCGAGCGUUGUCCGGAUUUAUUGGGCGUAAAGGGCUCGUAGGUGGUUGAUCGCGUCGGAAGUGUAAUCUUGGGGCUUAACCCUGAGCGUGCUUUCGAUACGGGUUGACUUGAGGAAGGUAGGGGAGAAUGGAAUUCCUGGUGGAGCGGUGGAAUGCGCAGAUAUCAGGAGGAACACCAGUGGCGAAGGCGGUUCUCUGGGCCUUUCCUGACGCUGAGGAGCGAAGGCGUGGGGAGCGAACAGGCUUAGAUACCCUGGUAGUCCACGCUGUAAACGGUGGGUACUAGGUGUGGGGUCCAUUCCACGGGUUCCGUGCCGUAGCUAACGCUUUAAGUACCCCGCCUGGGGAGUACGGCCGCAAGGCUAAAACUCAAAGGAAUUGACGGGGCCCCGCACAAGCGGCGGAGCAUGCGGAUUAAUUCGAUGCAACGCGUAGAACCUUACCUGGGUUUGACAUGGAUCGGGAGUGCUCAGAGAUGGGUGUGCCUCUUUUGGGGUCGGUUCACAGGUGGUGCAUGGCUGUCGUCAGCUCGUGUCGUGAGAUGUUGGGUUAAGUCCCGCAACGAGCGCAACCCUUGUUCACUGUUGCCAGCACGUUAUGGUGGGGACUCAGUGGAGACCGCCGGGGUCAACUCGGAGGAAGGUGGGGAUGACGUCAAGUCAUCAUGCCCCUUAUGUCCAGGGCUUCACGCAUGCUACAAUGGCUGGUACAGAGAGUGGCGAGCCUGUGAGGGUGAGCGAAUCUCGGAAAGCCGGUCUCAGUUCGGAUUGGGGUCUGCAACUCGUCCUCAUGAAGUCGGAGUCGCUAGUAAUCGCAGAUCAGCAACGCUGCGGUGAAUACGUUCCCGGG
rnacentral:rRNA from 1 species